UACGAACCGUACAAACGUUAUUCGGAAUCACUGGGCUUAAAGGGUGCGUAGGCGGCCAUGUAAGUGAGGUGUGAAAUCCCUCGGCUCAACCGAGGAAUUGCGCUUCAUACUGCACGGCUUGAGGGAGACAGGGGUAAGCGGAACUGAUGGUGGAGCGGUGAAAUGCGUUGAUAUCAUCAGGAACACCGGUGGCGAAAGCGGCUUACUGGGUCUCUUCUGACGCUGAGGUACGAAAGCUAGGGUAGCGAACGGG
rnacentral:rRNA from 1 species